GACGAACGCUGGCGGCGUGCUUAACACAUGCAAGUCGAGCGGAGCGGCGAACGGGUGAGUAACGCGUGAGUAACUGCCCCCCUCUCUGGGAUAACAGUUGGAAACCGCUGCUAAUACCGGAUAGUGGGGGAUGACUCGCGUCCUAUCAGCUUGUUGGUGUGGUAGUGGGCUACCAAGGAGACGACGGGUAGCCGGCCUGAGAGGGCGACCGGCCAUAUUGGGCUGAGAUACGGCACAAACUCCUAAGAGAGGCAUCAGUGGGGAAUAGUGCACAGUGGGGGAAACCCUGAUGAAGCAACGCCGCGUGCGGGAUGAAGGCCUUCGGGUUGUAAAGCUCUGUUAAGCGGGACGGCGAAUAGUGCGAGGAUUUGACGGUACCGGAAUAGAAAGCCACGGCUAACUACGUGCCAGCCGCCGCGGUAAUAC
rnacentral:rRNA from 1 species